rnacentral:lncRNA from 1 species
CCUCUGGGGAGCACCCGUCCCUAGAAUAAGUACCCCUGAACCAACCAAUCACGGAUAGUCAUGUGGCAAAUGCAAAAAAGUACACGUAAGAGGGGGCAGAGCAUCAGACACAUCACAGCCAAAUAAGGAGUUGUUUAUCAUAAAGAGCUCUCGCCGUCGGGAUGGCGGAAGGCGGAAACCAGCGCCAUCUUUAAGGCGUGGCACACGCAGCUCUCCACACACGAAUAGAAAUAAGAUGUCCAAAUCCACUAGAAAAUACAAGGUGGGAAACCUUCCCUUGAGAAGGAGAGAAAGAAGGGAUUGGAAGCAGAGAUUGCCCUUAGGAACAGAAUAACUUGAGGACCACACAAAAAUGCUAGAGAAGACAGAGUCUUCAGAAUCAUGAAAUGUCAAGUUGAAAAAUCUCCAGAAAUUCUACCCAUGAGAUCAUUAAAAGCAC